CUUAAUUCAUUUAUUUGGGAUUUUGAAAAUCCUACACAUUAGAGAGAGGGGUUCAGAUGAAGAGGGAGAAGGAAGAGCAUGAGCAUGAAUGAUCAGAUCAAAAGUGUUCGUGAAAUAGAAAAGCUAGCGAAUCGCCGGUUUUGUCUAAAGGAAGAAAAAUAAAGAAGGAAGGUAUUAAACCCUAACUUCUAUAUUAGAUUUACUUUAAGUUUUAUAUGUUAAAAACAUAGCUUAAUGAGAAUAAGAAGUAAAAGAUGUUAAGAAUGAUUUCAUAUGGUUGAAAUCAUGAGAAAAGAAGAAAUAAGAAAGUAGAAAUUUAGUUUAUAAAUUUCUUAAGGAAGUGUACGAUUCGUAAUGAAUUAGAACGAUUCGAGUGGAUUAUAUGAAUGAG
rnacentral:lncRNA from 1 species